rnacentral:rRNA from 1 species
AACGAACGCUGGCGGCAUGCCUAACACAUGCAAGUCGAACGAAGCCUUCGGGCUUAGUGGCGCACGGGUGCGUAACGCGUGGGAAUCUGCCCUUGGGUUCGGAAUAACAGUUAGAAAUGACUGCUAAUACCGGAUGAUGUCUUCGGACCAAAGAUUUAUCGCCCAAGGAUGAGCCCGCGUAGGAUUAGCUAGUUGGUGGGGUAAUGGCCCACCAAGGCGACGAUCCUUAGCNGGUCUGAGAGGAUGAUCAGCCACACUGGGACUGAGACACGGCCCAGACUCCUACGGGAGGCAGCAGUGGGGAAUAUUGGACAAUGGGCGCAAGCCUGAUCCAGCAAUGCCGCGUGAGUGAUGAAGGCCUUCGGUUGUAAG